rnacentral:rRNA from 1 species
AUGGCCCGCACCAAGCAGACGGCGAGGAAGUCCACCGGCGGCAAGGCGCCGAGGAAGCAGCUGGCCACCAAGGCCGCGCGCAAGUCCGCCCCGGCCACCGGCGGCGUGAAGAAGCCCCACCGCUUUCGCCCCGGCACCGUUGCGCUCCGGGAGAUCCGCAAGUACCAGAAGAGCACGGAGCUGCUCAUCCGCAAGCUCCCCUUCCAGCGCCUCGUCCGCGAGAUCGCCCACGACUUCAAGACCGACCUCCGCUUCCAGUCCUCCGCCGUCUCCGCCCUGCAGGAGGCCGCCGAGGCCUACCUCGUCGGGCUCUUUGAGGACACCAACCUCUGCGCCAUCCACGCCAAGCGCGUCACCAUCAUGCCCAAGGACAUCCAGCUCGCCCGCCGCAUCCGUGGCGAGAGGGCCUAG